UGAAAGAUAAGCUAAUAUAAGCUAAUGGGUUCAUACCUCAUAUAUGGAUUAUAUCCUCUUUUUA
rnacentral:tRNA from 1 species